UACGUAGGGUGCGAGCGUUAAUCGGAAUUACUGGGCGUAAAGCGUGCGUAGGCGGUUCGCUGUGUCCGAUGUGAAAGCCCCGGGCUUAACCUGGGAAUGGCAUUGGAAACUAGGGGACUGGAAUCUGGCAGAGGGGGGUGGAAUGCCGCGUGUAGCAGUGAAAUGCGUAGAGAUGCGGCGGAACACCGAUGGCGAAGGCAGCCCCCUGGGCUGAGAUUGACGCUCAGGCACGAAAGCGUGGGGAGCAAACAGG
rnacentral:rRNA from 1 species